rnacentral:tRNA from 1 species
AUUGCCUUAUAAGCACGUGGCCGCGGGUUCGAAUCCUGCCU